AUCCUGUAUUUUUGAGGCCUUAAAGUACUGUAGCAGCACAUCAUGGUUUACAUACUACAGUCAAGAUGCGAAUCAUUAUUUGCUGCUCUAGAAAUUUAAGGAAAUUCAUUCAAAACUAUG
rnacentral:pre_miRNA from 8 species